CAUUACAAAUCUCUGUUGGGCGUGGAGUGCAGUUUGCUUGGCUUAGCUCAGCUUAGCUUGGCUUGGCUCAGCUUGGCUUGCUGCCUGCCGCCAACACAUAUGCACAGGGCCGCGAGGCUCUGAUGUUUACGCUUGUUUGUUUGCCAGAUUUACCUGUGACUAUAAUUAUGACAACUUUUAACAAUGGAUCUCUUGGCUCUUGCAACGAUGAAGAACGCAGUAAAGUGCGAUAUGUAGUGCGAUUUGCAUGAAUCUGUGAGUCAUCUAAUCUUUGAACGCAACUUGCGCCUCCUUGAGGCAUGUCUGUUUGAGUGCCGCAUACAUCUAUGCAGCAAUGCGAUCUGGCUGUUGUCCCCGGACUCGGUCUAAACGUAGCCAGAUGGUGGCCUGUGCGGCCGGCCCGAGUGCUAAGCAUUCUCUGGGCUGGUGCGCGGGGGCUGUCCCAUUUAAUUUAUUUAUUUGGCCUCAAAUCAGGCAAGACUACCCGCUGAACUUAA
rnacentral:rRNA from 1 species